GACGAACGCUGGCGGCGUGCCUAAUACAUGCAAGUAGAACGCUGAAGGAGGAGCUUGCUUCUCUGGAUGAGUUGCGAACGGGUGAGUAACGCGUAGGUAACCUGCCUGGUAGCGGGGGAUAACUAUUGGGAACGAUAGCUAAUACCGCAUAAUAGUAGAUGUUGCAUGACAUUUGCUUAAAAGGUGCAAUUGCAUCACUACCAGAUGGACCUGCGUUGUAUUAGCUAGUUGGUGGGGUAACGGCUCACCAAGGCGACGAUACAUAGCCGACCUGAGAGGGUGAUCGGCCACACUGGGACUGAGACACGGCCCAGACUCCUACGGGAGGCAGCAGUAGGGAAUCUUCGGCAAAGGACGGAAGUCUGACCGAGCAACGCCGCGUGAGUGAAGAAGGUUUUCGGAUCGUAAAGCUCUGUUGUAAGAGAAGAACGAGUGUGAGAGUGGAAAGUUCACACUGUGACGGUAUCUUACCAGAAAGGGACGGCUAACUACGU
rnacentral:rRNA from 1 species